rnacentral:rRNA from 1 species
GCUAUCCCGAAACCCGUUCGUAGUUCGGAUUGAGGGCUGUAACUCGCCCUCAUGAAGCUGGAUUAGGUAGUAAUCGCGUCUCAACAGGGCGCGGUGAAUAUGCCCCUGCUCCUUGCACACACCGCCCGUCAAACCAUCUUAGUUGGGGGUGGGUGAGGCUACCUUUGAAUGGGGUAUUCGAGCCUGCCUUCGACAAGGAGGGUUAAGUCGUAACAAGGUAUCUGUAGGGGAACCUGCAGAUGGAUCACCUCCU